rnacentral:rRNA from 1 species
UGGGGAAUAUUGGACAAUGGGCGCAAGCCUGAUCCAGCCAUGCCGCGUGAGUGAUGAAGGCCCUAGGGUUGUAAAGCUCUUUCACCGGUGAAGAUAAUGACGGUAACCGGAGAAGAAGCCCCGGCUAACUUCGUGCCAGCAGCCGCGGUAAUACGAAGGGGGCUAGCGUUGUUCGGAUUUACUGGGCGUAAAGCGCACGUAGGAGGACUUUUAAGUCAGGGGUGAAAUCCCGGGGCUCAACCCCGGAACUGCCUUUGAUACUGGAAGUCUUGAGUAUGGUAGAGGUGAGUGGAAUUCCGAGUGUAGAGGUGAAAUUCGUAGAUAUUCGGAGGAACACCAGUGGCGAAGGCGGCUCACUGGACCAUUACUGACGCUGAGGUGCGAAAGCGUGGGGAGCAAACAGG